GAUGAACGCUGGCGGCGUGCCUAAUACAUGCAAGUCGAGCGAACAGACGAGUAGCUUGCUCCUCUGACGUUAGCGGCGGACGGGUGAGUAACACGUGGAUAACCUACCUAUAAGACUUGGAUAACUUCGGGAAACCGGAGCUAAUACCGGAUAAUAUAUUCAACCGCAUGGUUCAAUAGUGUAAGACGGUUUUGCUGUCACUUAUAGAUGGAUCCGCGCCGCAUUAGCUAGUUGGUAAGGUAACGGCUUACCAAGGCAACGAUGCGUAGCCGACCUGAGAGGGUGAUCGGCCACACUGGAACUGAGACACGGUCCAGACUCCUACGGGAGGCAGCAGUAGGGAAUCUUCCGCAAUGGGCGAAAGCCUGACGGAGCAACGCCGCGUGAGUGAUGAAGGUCUUCGGAUCGUAAAACUCUGUUAUUAGGGAAGAACAAAUGUGUAAGUAACUAUGCACGUCUUGACGGUACCUAAUCAGAAAGCCACGGCUAACUACGUG
rnacentral:rRNA from 1 species